CAGCAAUGAAUAUUUUCUGGCGAAAGAUCUCAUCAAAGUUUUACAGUCUGGAAGAAGAAAAGAAGGCUAGACAUCCUAAACAAUGAAGACAGAAGGAUUUACCAUAUAAGAUGAAUAAAGAAAAAGUAAGACCAGUAAACCAAAACAGGACCAAAUAGGCCAUGACUGAAGUUCAAGUGCACUCUGCAAGAAAGUGGACAGCCUAGAUUUUGUUCUUUUCAAGGUUGAGAAGGGAUGCCAUAUUUUAGGUUUGAAACCAGGCAAGUGAAAGCUGAAUUCCAACCUACUUCAACAUACUUGUACCCACUGUCUUCAAGAUAUCAGUGUUUGAGAUGUCAAAGUUCAAAUAUAAUAGGAACAUGUUUAUCAUAUUAUGUGAUGGCAUCCUCAAAUCUUAUGCUGUAUAACAAUAUGUUUUAGAACUUAUCAAGCUUUAUCCUGUACCUUG